rnacentral:lncRNA from 1 species
AAGUGGACUCAUUCCAAUUACAGGGCCUCGAAAGAGUCCUGUAUUGUUAUCUAGAGUCACCAAAGCCGCCGGCGCCCGCCCCCCGGCCGGGGCCGGAGAGGGGCUGACCGGGUUGGUUUUGAUCUGAUAAAUGCACGCAUCCCCCCCGCGAAGGGGGUCAGCGCCCGUCGGCAUGUAUUAGCUCUAGAAUUACCACAGUUAUCCAAGUAGGAGAGGAGCGAGCGACCAAAGGAACCAUAACUGAUUUAAUGAGCCAUUCGCAGUUUCACUGUACCGGCCGUGCGUACUUAGACAUGCAUGGCUUAAUCUUUGAGACAAGCAUAUGCUACUGGCAGGAUCAACCAGGUAGGUAGGUAGAGCGCGGCGAGGCCCCGACGCGGCCGGACGGCCGGCCGGGGGGCCUCGCGAGGACGGGCCCGGCGCCCCGCAAGCGAGGAGGACGACGGACGGACGGACGGACGGGCCGCGGACGGCCCGACCCGCGCCCGGCGGCCGGGAGGGACCGGCG